GAGGAUAAUACUCCAUAGAUCAUAGUGAUCUGGAAUGACUUAUGGUCAAAAGUUCCGGCGCCAUAGGAUUGGUCUGCGGCCUAUCAGGUAGUAGUGGGUGUAACGGACCCACUAGCCAAUGACGGGUAUGGGCCUUGAGAGAGGGAGCCCAGAGAUGGAUUCUGAGACACGAAUCCAGGCCCUACGGGGCGCAGCAGUCGCGAAAACUUCACACUGGAGGCAACUCCGAUGAGGGAAUUCCUAGUGCUAGCACGUUAGUGUUAGCUUUUCUUAAGCGUAGAUAACUUAAGGAAUAAGGGCUGGGUAAGACGGGUGCCAGCCGCCGCGGUAAUACCCGCAGCCCAAGUGGUGGUCGAUUUUAUUGAGUCUAAAACGUUCGUAGCCGGUUUGGUAAAUCUUUGGGUAAAUCGAGAAGCUUAACUUUUCGACUUCCGAGGAGACUGCCAAACUUGGGNACCGGGANAGGCAAGAGGUACUUCUGGGGUAGGGGUAAAAUCCUGUAAUCCUAGANGGACCACCGGUGGCGAAGGCGUCUUGCUAGAACGGAUCCNACNGUGAGGGACGAAUCCCUGGGUCGCAAACNGGAUUUANAUACCCCNGU
rnacentral:rRNA from 1 species